GUUCGUAAGCUUUUUUGUUAGGAAGAACCAAUUCCGUUCAAGUAGGGCGGCACGUGACCGUACCUAACCAGAAAGCCACGCCAAGUACGUGCCCGCAGCCGCUGUAAUAGGUAGGUGGCAAGCCGUGUCCUGUAAUUAUUGGGCGUAAAGGGCUGGCGGGCGGUUUUUUAAGUUUGAUGUGAAAGCCCCCGGCUCAAUCGGGGAGGGUCAUUGGAAACUGGCGAACUUGAGUGCAGAAGAGGAGAGUGGAAUUCCACGUGUAGCGAUGAAAUGCGUAGAGAUGUGGAGGAACACCAGUGGCGAAGGCGACUCUCUGGUCAGUAACUGACGUUGAGGAGCGACAGCGUGGGGAGCGAACAGGAUUAGAUACCCUGGUAGUACACGCCGUAAACGAUGAGUGGUAAGUGUUAGGGGGUUUCCGCCCCUUAGUGCUGCAGGUAACGCAUUAAGCAUUCCGCCUGGGGAGUACGGUCGCAAGACUGAAACUCAAAGGAAUUGACGGGGGGCCGCACAAGCGGUGGAGCAUGUGGUUUAAUUCGAAGCAACGCGAAGAACCUUACCAGGUCUUGACAUCCUCUGACAAUCCUAGAGAUAGGACGUCCCCUUCGGGGGCAGAGUGACAGGUGGUGCAUGGUUGUCGUCAGCUCGUGUCGUGAGAUGUUGGGUUAAGUCCCGCAACGAGCGCAACCCUUGAUCUUAGUUGCCAGCAUUCAGUUGGGCACUCUAAGGUGACUGCCGGUGACAAACCGGAGGAAGGUGGGGAUGACGUCAAAUCAUCAUGCCCCUUAUGACCUGGGCUACACACGUGCUACAAUGGACAGAACAAAGGGCAGCGAAACCGCGAGGUUAAGCCAAUCCCACAAAUCUGUUCUCAGUUCGGAUCGCAGUCUGCAACUCGACUGCGUGAAGCUGGAAUCGCUAGUAAUCGCGGAUCAGCAUGCCGCGGUGAAUACGUUCCCGGGCCUUGUACACACCGCCCGUCACACCACGAGAGUUUGUAACACCCGAAGUCGGUGAGGUAACCUUUAUGGAGCCAGCCGCCGAAGGUGGGACAGAUGAUUGGGGUGAAGUCGUAACCAGGAGCCUCGCG
rnacentral:rRNA from 1 species